UUUUCUUUUCUUUUCUUUUACAUUCAUAUUUACAAAGUACAAAAAUUCAAAACUAAAUAAAAAUUACAUUACAUAAUUUAAAAUUUACAAAACAGUCCCUAAAAUCCAUAACAGUACUGGGAAACCCUUCGGGAACAGUAUGAAACAGUGGUGGCGCGUCUUCCCAUGCACCACCGUCACUGGCGGCGCGUGGGUUCACGCGCCACCGCAAGCAGAAACAGGGGACGAGGUGGAUCUGGAUCGCCUUCUUCUCCUCUUCCUUUCCUCGCUGGCAGUGAGCAACGCCGUUACCUGCAGAACACAAAAAACGCAAGCAACAGUCUGUUUUAGUUUUAUUUUUCUCACAUCCGUUUCCUUCGGGUCUGUCACAGUUUGUUGCCCGAGAGUUCAUCCUUGUAGUGCAUCUGGUUGUUGGGCAUCAUCGGUGUUGAUGGCGGUUGGAUCUUGGUCCAGAUCUGCUGCACGGGUUUGAAUCGGAGUACCGGUUACUGAAGAGUUUGUUGGUGGUUUGAGACGGAGACACCGCUGCUGCUGGUUCGCCCGGAUAGUGGUCGACUGGAGUGAGGGCUGAGUCCGUGGGCGCCGCCGUGCUCAGACUAAGAGAGACGAGAGGAGGAUGGUGAACGGCGGGGAGAGAAUCGUGAGGUGCUCUCUGGUUUUGUUUCUUUCUACAAGUUAGGGGCGGCUGCAACGUGGAGAAGAUGAUAGCAGAAAAAGGGUGGGGGGUGGUUGUCGGUGAAGGAGAGGAAAAUAGGGGAAUCGCGUGGAGGCUAGUUCGUGGCUGGGGAAGCAGGAGCCGUUGCUGGCCAAGAGCUGCGGGCCAAAUGGGGGAGAAAGGAAUGGCCGGGUAAGAAGAGGGUCGGAUCCGAUGGUGGAAAAAAAUUCAAAAUCGGGGGGAGGCGGCUGUGUUUGGGUCUUUUUUAGGGUUUUUUGUGGUUUAGGGUUUUUGUAUUUUUUUGAUAGUUCAAAAUUUACCCCCAUGUAUCAAAAU
rnacentral:lncRNA from 1 species